CUCUUCCUCUCUCUCUCUCUCUCUCUCUGUGUGUGUGUGUGUGUGUGUGUGUGUGUGUGUGUGUGUGUGUGUGUGUGGAAAGCUCCCCUCCCAAACGAAAACAAAAACAAAAACAAAAAACAAAAAACAAAAAAUAAAAAACAAAAAACAAAAACCAGCAAGCCGCAGAAAGGAUGAUUGCCAUCCUGAGGAAAUUUUAAAUUGUGAUCCACAGUGCUGCGUAAAAUCGAGUUGCCGGCGAAGCGACACUUAACCCUGGGACCCUUAGGGGCUGGCACCUGGUGGCUGACCCUGUGGGCUCUGACUGUUGGGCCUAGCUCCUCUGAGGUGGCCAGUAUACCAUGCUGCCAUCUAGUGUACGUUCAUGAACUUCCUGGCUCGGGUGAGGGAUGCAGAUUGAAUCCAGACACCGGAAGUCCGGAGGAGGAGGCUUCUUCAGGGCUACAUGGAGGGACCACUGCGAGCUCGCUUCCACUUCAAGCACCAGGGGAGUGGGAACAUGGAGAAGUUUUCUUUGCAAGCGAUACAAGGGUUUUUAACUUCAAAGUCAUCGAAAGGUGCUUUUUCAGAAUUGACACGAUGCCGCGGCAAUGUAUCCCUGAAUGUCUCUUCAGAACGCGGGGCCCAACAAUGAAAACACGCUCUUGAUAAGGCGUGUAAUGGGCAGAAUUAUGCUAAUCGAGGAAAACCUUACAGGGAGUCUUUUGAGGUGUUGCUUCUAACGCUGAAACACAUUGGAAUUCAACAGAUGAGUGACUGGUAACUUGCCAUCCGUGACUUUCAGUGCCUAAAAUGAAUGAUGGAUGGUCCUAGGAACCCCCUUGUCCCUUUGACUGACAUCAUAAUGAGCAGGGAAAGACGCCAGGAAGAACAAACUCUAAGAGCAUGAGGCCAGGGCGAGAAGAAAAUAGAUGAGUUUGGUUAAAUGGGCAAAUUCCGCAACUGGAUGUCUGAGUUUGAGCCUGUGUUCAUGCCUUACCAAGUGGGUGCCCGUGUGUCAAGUGUUCAACUGCGAUCUGCUCCCAUCGCCUCAUCCAGGGGGACGUUCCACAAGCAUAACGAUAACAAUCACUACAACCUUAAUGUCUGCAUUAUAGUGGGUAUCAAUGCCUCUCAUGUGAUGGUUGGAAACAAUAAAAGAA
rnacentral:lncRNA from 1 species